rnacentral:rRNA from 1 species
UGCAAGUCGAACGCUUUGUGGUUCAACUGAUUUGAAGAAGCUUGCUCAGAUAUGACGAUGGACAUUGCAAAGAGUGGCGAACGGGUGAGUAACACGUGGGAAACCUACCUCUUAGCAGGGGAUAACAUUUGGAAACAGAUGCUAAUACCGUAUAACAAUGACAACCGCAUGGUUGUUAUUUAAAAGAUGGUUCUGCUAUCACUAAGAGAUGGUCCCGCGGUGCAUUAGCUAGUUGGUAAGGUAAUGGCUUACCAAGGCGAUGAUGCAUAGCCGAGUUGAGAGACUGAUCGGCCACAAUGGGACUGAGACACGGCCCAUACUCCUACGGGAGGCAGCAGUAGGGAAUCUUCCACAAUGGGCGAAAGCCUGAUGGAGCAACGCCGCGUGUGUGAUGAAGGGUUUCGGCUCGUAAAACACUGUUGUAAGAGAAGAAUGACAUUGAGAGUAACUGUUCAAUGUGUGACGGUAUCUUACCAGAAAGGAACGGCUAAAUACGUGCCAGCAGCCGCGGUAAUACGUAUGUUCCAAGCGUUAUCCGGAUUUAUUGGGCGUAAAGCGAGCGCAGACGGUUAUUUAAGUCUGAAGUGAAAGCCCUCAGCUCAACUGAGGAAUUGCUUUGGAAACUGGAUGACUUGAGUGCAGUAGAGGAAAGUGGAACUCCAUGUGUAGCGGUGAAAUGCGUAGAUAUAUGGAAGAACACCAGUGGCGAAAGCGGCUUUCUGGACUGUAACUGACGUUGAGGCUCGAAAGUGUGGGUAGCAAACAGGAUUAGAUACCCUGGUAGUCCACACCGUAAACGAUGAGUGCUAGGUGUUUGAGGGUUUCCGCCCUUAAGUGCCGCAGCUAACGCAUUAAGCACUCCGCCUGGGGAGUACGACCGCAAGGUUGAAACUCAAAGGAAUUGACGGGGACCCGCACAAGCGGUGGAGCAUGUGGUUUAAUUCGAAGCAACGCGAAGAACCUUACCAGGUCUUGACAUCCCUUGACAACUCCAGAGAUGGAGCGUUCCCUUCGGGGACAAGGUGACAGGUGGUGCAUGGUUGUCGUCAGCUCGUGUCGUGAGAUGUUGGGUUAAGUCCCGCAACGAGCGCAACCCUUAUUACUAGUUGCCAGCAUUCAGUUGGGCACUCUAGUGAGACUGCCGGUGACAAACCGGAGGAAGGUGGGGAUGACGUCAAAUCAUCAUGCCCCUUAUGACCUGGGCUACACACGUGCUACAAUGGCGUAUACAACGAGUUGCCAACCCGCGAGGGUGAGCUAAUCUCUUAAAGUACGUCUCAGUUCGGAUUGUAGGCUGCAACUCGCCUACAUGAAGUCGGAAUCGCUAGUAAUCGCGGAUCAGCACGCCGCGGUGAAUACGUUCCCGGGUCUUGUACACACCGCCCGUCACACCAUGAGAGUUUGUAACACCCAAAGCCGGUGGGGUAACCUUCGGGAGCCAGCCGUCUAAGGUGGGACAGAUGAUUAGGGUGAG